rnacentral:rRNA from 1 species
CAGCAGCCGCGGUAACACGAAGGGGGCUAGCGUUGUUCGGAAUUACUGGGCGUAAAGCGCACGUAGGCGGAUAUUUAAGUCAGGGGUGAAAUCCCGCAGCUCAACUGCGGAACUGCCUUUGAUACUGGGUAUCUUGAGUAUGGAAGAGGUUAGUGGAAUUGCGAGUGUAGAGGUGAAAUUCGUAGAUAUUCGCAGGAACACCAGUGGCGAAGGCGGCUAACUGGUCCAUAACUGACGCUGAGGUGCGAAAGCGUGGGGAGCAAACGGGAUUAGAUACCCCAGUAGUCCCUGUCUCUUAUAA